AGAACGUAAACCUAUUAGAAUCCAAGUCCUCAGGAAGAGAUUACUUCCAAAGCAUUCCAAGGACAAUACAAAUUCUACUGGGGGAACAGAGGAAGAAUCAUCAGUUUUAGAGCACUGUGCCCGAGCUUCAUCAAUAAUGGGUUUGGUGUUGUUAACUGGAGAAUUAACCCAAAUUUCUUAAAGCAGAUAUUACCUUUAAAGAAGAAAGUAAAGAUUAUAAGAU